CCUACGGGAGGCAGCAGUAGGGAAUCUUCCACAAUGGGCGAAAGCCUGAUGGAGCAACGCCGCGUGGGUGAAGAAGGUCUUCGGAUCGUAAAACUCUGUUGUUAGAGAAGAAAGUGCGUGAGAGUAACUGUUAACGUUUCGCCGGUAUCUAACCAGAAAGCCACGGCUAACUACGUGCCAGCAGCCGCGGCAAUACGUAGGUGGCAAGCGUUAUCCGGAGUUAUUGGGCGUAAAGGGAGCGCAGGCGGUAUUUUAAGUCUGAUGUGAAAGCCGUGGGCUUAACCGGAGUAGUGCAUUGGAAACUGGGAGACUUGAGUGCAGAAGAGGAGAGUGGAACUCCAUGUGUAGCGGUGAAAUGCGUAGAUAUAAGGAGGAACACCAGUGGCGAAGGCGGCUUUCUGGUCUGUAACUGACGCUGAGGUUCGAAAGCGUGGGUAGCAAACAGGAUUAGAUACCCCGGUAGUC
rnacentral:rRNA from 1 species